UCUAGUGGGCGUACACACGUCAUACAAUGGAUGGUACAAAGGGUCGCCAACCCGCGAGGGGGAGCCAAUCCCAUAAAGCCAUUCGUAGUCCGGAUCGCAGUCUGCAACUCGACUGCGUGAAGUCGGAAUCGCUAGUAAUCGUGGAUCAGAAUGUCACGGUGAAUACGUUCCCGGGUCUU
rnacentral:rRNA from 1 species